CCCCCCCCCCCUCCCGCUGCGCCGCUUCGUCCUCUCCGCCCGAGGCGAGCCGGCUAGUCUCGCGCUCUCUGCCUUGCAGCGGCACGGGAUCUGGGUGACGCGGGCUGCGGAAGCCAGGACCGGGCGGAUCCCGUCUCCGUCUCCUGUCCUGUCGUCUGUCUCCCCAUCUCUCGCUCUUCUCUCCGCCUCGUCAGGCUCGGCUAAGAGCGAGUGGCAAGAUGGCGGCGCCCAGGAUGCCACCCUCCCGGCUGUCGGGCAUCAUGGUGCCAGCACCCAUCCAGGACCUGGAGGCCCUGCGUGCCCUCACUGCGCUCUUCAAGGAGCAGCGGAACCGGGAAACAGCACCCAGAACAAUCUUCCAGAGAGUCCUGGAUAUCUUAAAGAAAUCUACUCAUGCUGUUGAGCUGGCCUGCAGGGAUUCUUCCCAAGUGGAGCACCUGGCUUCCAGUCUUCAGCUAAUCACUGAAUGCUUCAGAUGUCUUCGGAAUGCGUGUAUAGAGUGUUCUGUGAACCAGAACUCUAUCAGGAACCUGGAUACAAUUGGCGUUGCUGUUGAUUUGGUUCUUCUCUUUCGUGAACUUCGAGUGGAACAAGACUCUUUGCUAACAGCUUUUCGUUGUGGCCUGCAGUUUUUAGGCAACAUUGCCUCACGGAAUGAAGAUUCCCAGGCCAUUGUUUGGGUCCAUGCUUUCCCAGAGCUUUUUAUGUCUUGCUUAAAUCACCCAGACAAAAAGAUUGUUGCCUACUGUUCAAUGAUUUUGUUCACAUCUCUUAAUCCUGAAAGAAUGAAAGACCUGGAAGAAAACCUCAAUAUUGCAAUUAAUGUCAUAGAAGCUCACCAAAAGCAUCCAGAGUCAGAAUGGCCGUUCUUGAUUAUUGCAGACCACUUUCUGAAAAGCCCGGAGUUGGUGGAAGCCAUGUAUUCCAAACUCAGCGAUCAGGAAAGGGUCACACUGUUAGACAUUAUGAUAGCCAGGCUGGUGGGUGACGAGCAGCUGACGAAGGAUGACAUCUCUAUAUUUUUGCGCCAUGCCGAGUUGAUUGCAAACUCAUUUGUGGAUCAGUGUAGGAAUGUGCUAAAGUUGAUCUCGGAGCCUCACACAGAGGAUAAGGAAGCACUGGCUACCAUUCGGCUUCUGGACGUCUUGUGUGAAAUGACAUCCCACACUGAGCUUCUUGGUUACCUACAAGUUUUUCCUGGUCUGAUGGAACGAGUGAUUGAUGUUUUACGGGUGAUUCAUGUUGUUGGAAAAGAUACCACGAACAUUUUCAGUCCCUCUGACUCUCUAAAAGCAGAGGGUGACAUCGAACACAUGACUGAAGGGUUUAAAUCUCAUCUCAUUCGUCUCAUUGGAAAUCUGUGUUACAAGAAUAAAGAAAACCAGGACAAAGUGAACGAGCUGGAUGGCAUUCCUCUGAUCCUGGACAGCAGCAAUAUUGAUGACAACAACCCCUGUAUCCUUGACUAUGACCCACAACCAGCAAACCUGAUUUCUUCAUGGCUGAAAAAUUUCUGUCUAUACAUACACCGCAAUUUAUUUAUCCUGUCUGCUGAUGGACAUGUAGGCCGGUCCCAUAGUUUAACUAUGAUGAGCAGUACUACAGCAGAGCAUGAAACUCAGAGUGCCAGGAGGAAGGUCUGCCCUGCUUCUUCUGGGGAGUCAGUCCCCACAGACAAGAGAUGUUUGGAAGCUUCAUGGCCUUGAUAUGGGAGGUGAAUGCUGGAGCCACAUUGCCUGUGGCUAUGCCCUGGCUUCUCCACCUUUUAUUGCUGGGCAUGGACAGGUUACUCAGCCUCUUGGUUUUCAGGAUCUUGGUUUCCUCUUCAGAAGGUUGAAGAUAAUCAUAGAGUGCUUAAAACGGCGACUGUCAACUAGGUUGGAAGUGAGUCUGUCGCUAUUGUUUUGUUUACUGCUUUUCCUUUUUAUGCAGAUACACUGACCAUUCUCUUCUCAGCCUUGGCAAGUGGGAGAGACACUGAAAUAAAUGUCUUUCAAAGCUUCACCUGCACCGAGUGGUAGAGUGAUCUGAAUGGGUUCAGAUGAAGCAACUUUUCUCAUGGCUCUUCUAUUCCAGAGUUCUAAGCAUUUUAUAAACAUCUAUUGUCUCAGCAGGUGGGGCCUUGCUGUAAAGCUCAGCCAUGACACUGUUAGUGGGGACCUGGCUAUGACUGGCGUCCUGGGCAUUGUUUUCUUUAGAAGUCUAAUAAUCUCCCCAGCUGUCCCCACAAUAAUGAAGGUGGAUGUGCUUGUGUUGUGCGUCUGUAUGUGUUCCUUAACAUCUCACAGUCCAAAUCUGAGCAAGCUGUCUCUGGUUAAAUAGUUAGAUCACUUAAGCUGUACAUACCAAAGGCCAGAUAAGAUAGGAAGCCCAGGAAGAAAGCACCCCAGAGUGCUAUAGAAUACUGCUCAUAUGCCCUGUGUUCAGUGCACGUGCUGGAUACUUCUUAGCAUGUCUCAGAAGUGACGUCAGAGUGCUGCCCCAAAUACAAAUGGAACCACUUGUGGCCCCAAAGCCCUUUGGUGUGGUCUGGGUUAGAAGUGGUAUUGGUUGUUUCUGAUCCUGAAACCUGUAGUGUGAUAGGGGUGCCAGACUGUGCCUGCUUUGUACCACGCUCUGCUUUGAAGUGGGUAGUAAAAAGGAUUCCAGAAUAUGUAAUGUACAAAAUUAGUUUCAGUGCUCUAAGAUCCUUCACCACCAAAACCCCGUGAAGACAAGGUACCUGCGAGCACAGCCCUUCUCGCCACAGAAGCAUUUGGAGUGGGCAGUGCGAGUGAUGACUGCCUGGCAGGGAGAAUGUCGUCUUCCCAUGACUUCACUGCCAGCUGGAUGGGCCCACAGUAUGUUUUCUUUCUCAUCUUGGAUGCCGGGUGGUGUGCAUCUGGGAUUGAAGGAGUGAGCACGGAACCCAGCCAGGGUCCAGACAGAGGGCGGUAUGUGGCAUGGUUCCCCACCCUGCCCACAGAUGCUGUCAGGAAAUGGGAGCUUUCAGAAGGUGGAGCGAUGUGUGGGCUUCGAGGAGGCCCUUGAACAGUGUCUCACUCCUCUUUAAAGGUCACUCUAGGAAAAAUAGGUUGGACGUUGUAAAGAGUAAAUGUGGCCUUUGCACAGAAGAGCAGGUCUUUAGCAACAGAGCUGUUCAGGCGGUUUUGCACCAUCUCUGCAAUUUCUUUCUGUCUCCCUUGUGGCUGGAGAGGACAGGAAAGCAUCUGGUCUUUAAAGUGGUGAUAAUUCUGAGGUGGCUUUCCCUCUGUGUAAACUUGCAGAAACUACUUGCUAUUUGUAGCUUGUAUUAAGAACACAUAUUCCAUAUUCUUCACAUUAUGGCCUAUAACUCACGAAUGUGGCAAUUUUUUUCUUUCCUACCCUUUUCUGUUUGUUUUUCUCUUUCCCGCUUUCAGUGUUGGUAGCUAGCCAUUAGCAAGUUGACAGGUAUGCACACAUGAUGUGAGCUGUGUUCUGCUAGACAUUUGUUAGACAACAGGCCGCAAACCGUGGAAUGGCACAUGCAGCACUCAAUGAAACCCUUGAAUAUAGAUGUACCCUUGCAUUAAAACACACAACGCAGAAGACAGAUACAAGAUAAUCCAACAAUUUAGGGCAGUAGGAGGAGCCAGUGUGGGCGGUUUGUGAUGGUUACUGCAUACAUUGGUUCCAGCACCAUCUCAGGAACUCAGGAGGAUCUGUCCCCACUAAGCCUUCCUCUUUAGUUUCUGAAUGAAAAUAGUGUGUAAUGAAUGAGUAUUGAUAACUAAAGAUAAUGAUAAAAGUUAACAGUGAUAUAAAAUGAACUUCAUUCUGAAAGCAACAGAAAUCUCUCUGGAUAUCUAGAAAUGAUCGGCCUGUUCAGAGAAGCUAAGUAGUUGUAAAGACAGUAAGCCAAAGAAGCAUGGAGUUUAACAUGCUGCCAUUCAGAUGUUGACCUGUGGCUUUGGAUAUGCAAGGAACUAGUAAGCAAGGGACUAUUAAAAGUAUGGAAUUGGGAUACUUACAUUUCGUUGAUAAUAGUUUAGAUAUCAAAGGCUUUUACUUUAAUUUUAGGAUAUAUAUGUACUUGACAUAAUAUCUAUAUAUGCAUGCCAUAUAAUAGUUGAUCUUUACCUACAUAGUAUGUUGAAAGGUUAUUUUAGACAGCGAGCCAGUGAAGGAACAGGAUCUACAUGCAUACAGCUUUGGAGGAGCUACUGCUAUAGGGCAGAAAGCAGGCAUGGCGGUCUUCCAACAAAACUGUGAGAAUAGUUGGUGACAGAGAAGUCUCCUUCAAGGGCCUUUACAAACCGUGCCAUGGAAGGAUUAUCUGAGGACCAGAGUGAAUGGUAAGUGCCUGCAUCACCACUAAGUAACACCCUUUUCAAACUAUGCAGAACUGAAGUUUAAGAGCAUAGCAAGCAGUCCUGUUAUAAAACUUGUAGAAAUGGUUUAUAUUACUAAAACCGAAGUGUGCUUAUUCCCCUCAUAUAAAGCAGGAAAACCUUGAGGGUAGGGACCAGGAAACAAGUGUUCAGCACCCCAGGCCUUCUUGGUAGGAGCUGGGUGGCCUCCAUCUACCUUCCCCUCAGAAACAGGAUUAACUCAUAGAGAAGGGGAAGCAGUGCUGCUUGGGAAGCACCUGUAGAGUUACUGUCAGAACGAGAGCUGGAAGGAGGCUCCUGGAGAGGAGUCGGCAGGCAGGACGGAGGUGUGCAGUGUGGCUCUGUUCUGCCACAGAGCCCUGGGUCACUCACGUGUCCUGGUCAAUAGAGAACUGAAUUUUUAGACUCUGAAAUUGAUUCCCUAACAUAUAUGAAAAUUAUAUCAAAUAUAUAAAACUGUUUAUAGUUUCUUGCCAGUUACUUGCCAACCCCCAUUCUCAGCAGGUUCCCAGAGAGGGUUUGGGCCUUGGCAACAGUCAUCUUUAGACUUGAAGUCUGUUGGAUUUGAUUACUAGAAACAUUCUGCCUAUAGCUGGAUGAAGUCUGUCUUAACAGUCAUGUGAGUUACAGAAAUGGGGAAGUGUGCUGUUAAAUUCCUUCACUGUGCUCUAGUUAUGAUGCAGUGGGUGGUGUACGCCGUGCGAAAUCUCACUGAAGACAACAGCCAAAACCAAGAUUUCAUUGCAAAAAU